GCGAGCGGCGGAUGGGUGAGUAACACGUGGGGAACCUGCCCCUAAGUCUGGGAUACCAUUUGGAAACAGGUGCUAAUACCGGAUAAUAAAGCAGAUCGCAUGAUCAGCUUUUGAAAGGCGGCGUAAGCUGUCGCUAAGGGAUGGCCCCGCGGUGCAUUAGCUAGUUGGUAAGGUAACGGCUUACCAAGGCGACGAUGCAUAGCCGAGUUGAGAGACUGAUCGGCCACAUUGGGACUGAGACACGGCCCAAACUCCUACGGGAGGCAGCAGUAGGGAAUCUUCCACAAUGGACGCAAGUCUGAUGGAGCAACGCCGCGUGAGUGAAGAAGGUUUUCGGAUCGUAAAGCUCUGUUGUUGGUGAAGAAGGAUAGAGGUAGUAACUGGCCUUUAUUUGACGGUAAUCAACCAGAAAGUCACGGCUAACUACGUGCCAGCAGCCGCGGUAAUACGUAGGUGGCAAGCGUUGUCCGGAUUUAUUGGGCGUAAAGCGAGCGCAGGCGGAAAAAUAAGUCUAAUGUGAAAGCCCUCGGCUUAACCGAGGAACUGCAUCGGAAACUGUUUUUCUUGAGUGCAGAAGAGGAGAGUGGAACUCCAUGUGUAGCGGUGGAAUGCGUAGAUAUAUGGAAGAACACCAGUGGCGAAGGCGGCUCUCUGGUCUGCAACUGACGCUGAAGGCUCGAAAGCAUGGGGUAGCGAACAGGGAUUAGAUACCCU
rnacentral:rRNA from 1 species